UUUCCGUAGGUGAACCUGCGGAAGGAUCAUUAACACGAAUUAUUUAUUAUCCAAUAUCAAAAACCAAACGUGAACCAUUUCCCUCCCUAUAUAUAUAUAUAUAGGCUAACCUCAUUUAAUUAAUUUUUAACACUUUAAACCUUAACUAGUUUUAAUGUAGCCAUUAAAACAUCUAAACUAAAAAAGACAAGGUUAUUCGAAAGAGUAAACUUUAACUUUUUUCGAUUUACGAAAAAUUUAAAAGAACAACUCUUAACAAUGGAUAUCUUGGUUCUC
rnacentral:misc_RNA from 1 species